GUCAUACCCUCUCUCCCAGCCUGGGUUCAGGUCACCGUCCUCCCCACAGAAUCCUGCCUCUGCUUCUUUGGUGCUGAGAAUGAACCUUCUAAUAUAGACACUGCUUUCUAGAAGAGAGUGAAUGGGAGAUGUUCCCAGAGAGAAGGGCUAUUUCAGUCAUGCAGACACAUCCCCUCUCCCAUCCUUCAGGCCUGAAGCUCAUGGGAGCCCCAGUGAAGAUGACAGUGUCUCAGGGGCAGCCAGUGAAGCUUAACUGCAGUGUGGAAGGGAUGGAGGACCCUGACAUACACUGGAUGAAGGAUGGCGCUGUGGUCCAGAAUGCAAGCCAGGUGUCCAUCUCAAUAAGCGAACAGAACUGGAUUGGCUUACUCAGCCUAAAGUCAGCGGAGCGGUCUGAUGCCGGCCU
rnacentral:lncRNA from 1 species